rnacentral:rRNA from 1 species
AGUGAACGCUGGCGGUAGGCCUAACACAUGCAAGUCGAACGGCAGCACAGUAAGAGCUUGCUCUUACGGGUGGCGAGUGGCGGACGGGUGAGGAAUACAUCGGAAUCUACUUUUUCGUGGGGGAUAACGGAGGGAAACUUACGCUAAUACCGCAUACGACCUACGGGUGAAAGCAGGGGAUCUUCGGACCUUGCGCGAUUGAAUGAGCCGAUGUCGGAUUAGCUAGUUGGCGGGGUAAAGGCCCACCAAGGCGACGAUCCGUAGCUGGUCUGAGAGGAUGAUCAGCCACACUGGAACUGAGACACGGUCCAGACUCCUACGGGAGGCAGCAGUGGGGAAUAUUGCACAAUGGGCGAAAGCUUGAUCCAGCCAUACCGCGUGGGUGAAGAAGGCCUUCGGGUUGUAAAGCCCUUUUGUUGGGAAAGAAAAGCAGCAGGUUAAUACCCCGCUGUUCUGACGGUACCCAAAGAAUAAGCACCGGCUAACUUCGUG